AAUAGAUACCCAGGUAGUCCACGCCCUAAACGAUGUCAACUAGCUAUUGGGGCCUUCGGGCCUUGGUAGCGCAGCUAACGCGUGAAGUUGACCGCCUGGGGAGUACGGUCGCAAGAUUAAAACUCAAAGGAAUUGACGGGGACCCGCACAAGCGGUGGAUGAUGUGGAUUAAUUCGAUGCAACGCGAAAAACCUUACCUACCCUUGACAUGUCUGGAAUCCCGAAGAGAUUUGGGAGUGCUCGCAAGAGAACCGGAACACAGGUGCUGCAUGGCUGUCGUCAGCUCGUGUCGUGAGAUGUUGGGUUAAGUCCCGCAACGAGCGCAACCCUUGUCAUUAGUUGCUACGAAAGGGCACUCUAAUGAGACUGCCGGUGACAAACCGGAGGAAGGUGGGGAUGACGUCAAGUCCUCAUGGCCCUUAUGGGUAGGGCUUCACACGUCAUACAAUGGUCGGGACAGAGGGUCGCCAACCCGGCGAGGGGGGAGCCAAUCCCAGAAACCCGAUCGUAGUCCGGAUCGCAGUCUGCAA
rnacentral:rRNA from 1 species